ACUGCUUAAACAGAAACUGAAUAAAACACACACGUGCACAUCAAAGAGGGAAAUCUCAUUCAGAUUUUGGGAGGAGCAAAAUGUGCAAAUCUCCUAAAUCAUCAUAAAGGACAGAGCAACAAAGGAAAAUUGAAAUGAAACUAUUGAAAUGCAUACAUGUCUACCACGUAAACAUGUUUUUCCUGUUUCCUGAGAGUGAAACCAAAAAAACCACACUGGACUGAUAGGAUCAUGAGUGCCGGAGCGGUGUUGCUGUGACAUUAGUUAGGUGUCUGUUAAAGAGAUUAUUCGUGUCAAUUAUAUUCUUCAAAUGAUCUGUAGAUUUUUAUGAUUAUUUAUUCAAUCGAGCUGAAUUAUCAGAAAUCUUGUGAUCAUCAGAGAUGGCAAAGUCUGCAGGUACCAAGGAUUCUAAAGAACUGGCACGUCUUUUGAAAAGAUAUGUAGAGAAAUUAGAGGAGCUGUGUCAUCUUUGCAACAUCAACCCAAAACGUGACUUCCCCAAAAGUAAUAAAGCAAUGAAAAGAAUAGCAGAAUCACUGCUUAAAGUCCAUCAUAAGAAAAGUGAUUCAUCUGAUGUCUCAACAAUAAACAAAAUCAUAAAAUCAGGAACAACACUGAUUGAAAACACAAUCGAGAAGUUGGAAGAGGAUUUAGAUCCGGUUCAAGAGUGUGCCAUGAGUGGUAAGAGUCGUGCUU